AUUGAACGCUGGCGGCAGGCCUAACACAUGCAAGUCGAGCGGGGUUUUCGGACCUAGCGGCGGACGGGUGAGUAAUGCGUAGGAAGCUGCCCGAUAGAGGGGGAUACCAGUUGGAAACGACUGUUAAUACCGCAUAAUGUCUACGGUCCAAAGUGUGGGACCUUCGGGCCACAUGCUAUCGGAUGCGCCUACGUGGGAUUAGCUAGUUGGUGAGGUAAUGGCUCACCAAGGCGACGAUCUCUAGCUGGUUUGAGAGGAUGAUCAGCCACACUGGAACUGAGACACGGUCCAGACUCCUACGGGAGGCAGCAGUGGGGAAUAUUGGACAAUGGGCGCAAGCCUGAUCCAGCCAUGCCGCGUGUGUGAAGAAGGCCUUCGGGUUGUAAGGCACUUUCAGCGAGGAGGAAGGGGUGUGUGUUAAUAGUACACACCUUUGACGUUACUCGCAGAAGAAGCACCGGCUAACUCUGUGCCAGCCGCCGCAGUAACAC
rnacentral:rRNA from 1 species